GACGAACGCUGGCGGCGUGCCUAAUACAUGCAAGUAGAACGCACAGUUUAUACCGUAGCUUGCUACACCAUAGACUGUGAGUUGCGAACGGGUGAGUAACGCGUAGGUAACCUGCCUGGUAGCGGGGGAUAACUAUUGGAAACGAUAGCUAAUACCGCAUAAUAUUAAUUAUUGCAUGAUAAUUAAUUGAAAGGUGCAAUUGCACCACUACCAGAUGGACCUGCGUUGUAUUAGCUAGUAGGUGAGGCAACGGCUCACCUAGGCGACGAUACAUAGCCGACCUGAGAGGGUGAUCGGCCACACUGGGACUGAGACACGGCCCAGACUCCUACGGGAGGCAGCAGUAGGGAAUCUUCGGCAAUAGACGAAAGUCUGACCGAGCAACGCCGCGUGAGUGAAGAAGGUUUUCGGAUCGUAAAGCUCUGUUGUAAGAGAAGAACGGGUGUGAGAGUGGAAAGUUCACACUGUGUCGGUAUCUUACCAGAAAGGGACGGCUAACUACGUG
rnacentral:rRNA from 1 species